AACGAACGCUGGCGGCAUGCCUAACACAUGCAAGUCGAACGAAGUCUUCGGACUUAGUGGCGCACGGGUGCGUAACGCGUGGGAAUCUGCCCUUGGGUACGGAAUAACUCAGAGAAAUUUGUGCUAAUACCGUAUAAUGACUUCGGUCCAAAGAUUUAUCGCCCAAGGAUGAGCCCGCGUAAGAUUAGCUAGUUGGUGAGGUAAAAGCUCACCAAGGCGACGAUCUUUAGCUGGUCUGAGAGGAUGAUCAGCCACACUGGGACUGAGACACGGCCCAGACUCCUACGGGAGGCAGCAGUGGGGAAUAUUGGACAAUGGGCGAAAGCCUGAUCCAGCAAUGCCGCGUGAGUGAUGAAGGCCUUAGGGUUGUAAAGCUCUUUUACCCGGGAUGAUAAUGACAGUACCGGGAGAAUAAGCUCCGGCUAACUCCGUGCCAGCAGCCGCGGUAAUACGGAGGGAGCUAGCGUUGUUCGGAAUUACUGGCGUAAAGCGCGC
rnacentral:rRNA from 1 species